rnacentral:misc_RNA from 1 species
GUUAAAUGCAGUGAGCGUCGGUGUACGUAAAAUGGCGGACGGUGACAUUGAUUUGUACGCCGACGAUCUCGAGCAAGAUUUCGCGCAGGAUGAAUUUGCUGGUGAUGGUGUUGAUUUGUAUGAUGAUGUGAUAGCAGCUCCAGCUGGUGGUAAUGGUGGUGUUUCUACGGGAAACAGUGGAGAUGGUGGAGGUGAUACUACUUCACCAAAUGAAGAAACAAACGGUAGUGCACCUUACCAUCAACUUGGGAAUAAUAUCCAACCAAAUCAGAUUGGAAGACGCCAUCAACUAUAUGUUGGAAAUUUGACUUGGUGGACAAGUGAUCAAGACAUAACUGAUGCAGUACAAAGUAUUGGUGUAUCAGAUUUUGUUGAAGUCAAAUUUUUUGAAAAUCGAGCCAAUGGACAAUCUAAGGGUUUUUGUGUGAUAUCCCUGGGUUCAGAACAAAGUAUGAGAAUAUGUAUGGAAAGAUUACCUAAAAAAGAAUUGCAUGGACAGAAUCCAGUAGUAACAUUUCCCACUAAACAAGCUUUGAAUCAAUUUGAGUCUCAGUGUAAGACACGUCCAGCUCCUGCUCCCCAACAGAGUCAGAGUCAACGCCCCCAUAAUCCACAUCAACAUCAGCCACCAAUGCCACCUCAUCAACAGCACCCACAACAUCCCCAACACCCUCAACAUUCACAACAAAAUCAUGGUCCUAGGAUGAUGAUGGGCCCUCCACAGGGUGUAAGACCACAGAGAAUGCCACCUCCAGGCAUGGGUCCACCAGGUCCAGGUGGGCCUGGGCAGCAAGGUCCACCACGUAUGCACGGUCCACCAAUGGGUCCUGGACCAGGACCACAUCAUCCUUUACCUGGUCAUCCCAAUCAAGGUCCACCACCUCCUGGUUAUCAACAAGGGCCAUGGAAUGGACCAAGACCCAAUGGUCCUCCUGGACCACCAAGAGGUCCAAGUGGACCUGGUGGUCCACCACAACAAGGGCCACCAGGACCAGGUCCUGGUCAACAUCGACCUCCUGGAAUGAGUUGCACUAGAGACCUUUCAGAAGCCAGUUACCAUAUACCACAGCAAUUUCAUGGUGGUCCACCUGGUCCACCUGGUCAAGGACCUCCACGUGGUCCACCUGGGCAUCCUGGUGGACCUCCAGGUGAUCCAAGAGGUGCCCAACCACGUCCUGAAUGGAAUAGACCACCAGGAAUGCAUCACGGGCCUCAGGGACCACCAGGUUUCCCUCAACAUCAACAUAUGCAAGGUCCGCAACCUGGCCAAGGCCCACCACAGAGAGGACCUCCUCCAGGUUCUAUGGGUGGAAUGUUACCAGGUCCAGGAGGACCACCACCUGGCCAUGGAGGCCCACCUCAAGGACCACCACAAGGGCCCCCAGGAGGGCCUGCUCCACAUGUGAAUCCAGCAUUUUUCCCACAAGGACCACCUCAUCAGCAUCCAGGACAACAUCCACCAGGUCCUCCUGGUCCACCUCAUGGGCCACCUCAUGGUCCACCACAUGGUCCACCUCAUGGUCCACCUCAUGGACCUCCACAUGGUCAGCCACAUGGACCACCCCAUGUCCCACCUCAUGGCUAUGGACCACCUGCAGCACAGCCACCUUACGGUGCACCAGGACCUGAUCACCGCCCAGAAGGUCCUCCUCCUCUUACAGAGCAAGAAUUUGAAGAAAUUAUGGGCAGAAAUAGAACUGUUUCUUCUUCUGCUAUUGCUCGAGCAGUAUCUGAUGCUGCGGCAGGAGAAUACGCAAGCGCCAUAGAAACUUUAGUUACAGCCAUUUCUUUGAUAAAACAAUCUAAGGUUGCUGCAGAUGAUAGAUGUAAGAUUUUAAUCAGUUCUCUUCAAGACACUUUACGUGGUGUCGAGACCAAGAGCUACGGAUCCGCACGUAGGGAACGAUCACGCUCACGCGAUAGGGAACGUAGUCACAGAAGAAGACGUGAGCGGUCAAGGAGUCGCGACAGGGAAUAUAGAGAAAGAAGCAGGGACAGAGAUAGAGAGCGUGACAGGGAACGCGAUCGUGAAAGGGAGAGGGAUCGUGAUCGUGACAGAGAACGUUAUUACAGUGAACCAUAUCCACGGGAGAGAUCACGAAGCAGGGAGAGGGAUCGUGAACGUGAAAGAGAUCGGGAAUAUAGAGAGCGAAGCAGAGAAGAAAGUACGACACGUCAGUCAGCCAGGCCAAGAGUAAAAGAAGAACCGCCAGAGACGGCUCCCGUCUCGUCUUCCAAGGCGUCUAGUCAAAGCGAGUAAAAAAGUCAUAAAGAAUGAGAAAAGUAGGAAAAGUUAGAGAAACAUAUAGCGUUCAAAAAGUCUCUGAGUAUUAUGACGAUCGCUACAGAGAGCGUGAACGAGACAGAGAUCGAGAACGAGAGUCGAGCCGGAGACC